ACGGGAGGCAGCAGUGGGGAAUAUUGGGCAAUGGGCGAAAGCCUGACCCAGCGACGCCGCGUGAGGGAAGAAGAUCUUCGGAUUGUAAACCUUAGUCAACAGGGAAGAAGCAAGUGACGGUACCUGUGGAGGAAGCCACGGCUAACUACGUGCCAGCAGCCGCGGUAAUACGUAGGUGGCAAGCGUUAUCCGGAUUUACUGGGUGUAAAGGGCGCGUAGGCGGGGAUGCAAGUCAGGUGUGAAAUCUAUGGGCUUAACCCAUAAACUGCAUUUGAAACUGUAUCUCUUGAGUGUCGGAGAGGUAGAUGGAAUUCCUAGUGUAGCGGUGAAAUGCGUAGAUAUUAGGAGGAACACCAGUGGCGAAGGCGAUCUACUGGACGAUAACUGACGCUGAGGCGCGAAAGCGUGGGGAGCAAACAGGAUUAGAUACCCUGGUA
rnacentral:rRNA from 1 species